rnacentral:tRNA from 1 species
GCCCUGCUGGUCCAGUGGUUAAGACUCUGCACUUCCACUGCAGGAGACCUGGUUUGAUCCCUGGUCAGGGAA